rnacentral:rRNA from 1 species
CAGUCGAACGAGAAAGUGGAGCAAUCCAUGAGUACAGUGGCGUACGGGUGCCUUCACGUGACUGACCUACCCUCGAGUGGGGAAUAACUUCGCCUAACCGAGGCUAAUACCGCAUAAUGUCUACGGACCAAAUGCGCAAGCAGCUUGAGGAGGGGGUCGCGGCUGAUUAGCUUGUUGGCGGGGUAACGGCCCACCAAGGCAAUGAUCAGUAGCCGGCCUGAGAGGGCGCACGGCCACACUGGAACUGAAACACGGUCCAGACUCCUACGGGAGGCAGCAGUGGGGAAUUUUGCGCAAUGGGGGAAACCCUGACGCAGCAACGCCGCGUGGAGGAUGAAGCCCCUUGGGGUGUAAACUCCUUUCGAUCGGGACGAUUAUGACGGUACCGGAUGAAGAAGCACCGGCUAACUCUGUGCCAGCAGCCGCGGUAAUACAGAGGGUGCAAGCGUUGUUCGG